UAUUGCGAAAUACUGGUUAGCAAGGUCUACCAUUUUAGGCAUUGUUCUUCGAUUAUUAGGCUUCGUAAGUCCUUUGCUUAUAAGUUAUACCAUUUUCCUGCUACUUCGUUUGCAGAAUCUUUGACGUUGGUAACCAAGAAACAAAUAACGGCCUCAUAUACGGGAAAGGGUUGGAUCUAAGGCAGUACUAUCACUCUGUGUUCCCAUAAAAAAAAGUGCCCAAGAUGUCAAAAACGUACCUCCCAGAAAAAAAGGAUAAAAUUUACGUCAACUUAUUAUAUAAGCCUAUUCAACUACUGGAAGGAAAAUGAAGGUGGCGUAAUAGUGAACAACGGUUUGUUUGUUUGAUGUAAAGCGCAAAACUACACAAUGGGCUAUCCGCGCUGCAACCGUCACGAGUAUCGAAAUCUUUAGCGGUGUGAGCCCCCAGACUUGCCACCGGGGGUGGGGGUAGUGCACAACGGAGUGUUAGUCAUUCAAGUUUACAAGGAAAACUUUUAUUAUCUCAAUCUAUCGCCUUGCUUCUUCUUCGGGAAGUUAAUACCUUGCCAAUCAAAAAGUAGGCUCAGAACAACUUACUAGUAGAUAAUACAAAGUUUAAAAUCCAACAAUGGAUUCCAUCCAAUGCGUGAUGAUAGAGGAGAACACGUUAAACCAACAGCAUUUGUGGCAUGGUUAUAAAGGAUCUGGUGAAAUAUACAGAACUAAAGAUCACAAACAAUACUUUAAAAUUUACAAAUUCCUGUACAAAAGGACAAGUCGAUGACGAAAAGAAUAAAAGCUUGUGGAAGACUGUGGACCGUGGGAAUAAGCAAUGUGGAUUUUAUUAAGCCUAACGGUUGCUGAUUGUGACGAUGUUUGCCUAACUAUUAAGUUGUUUAUGAAAAAAAAGAAGAAAGGGGUUUAUGUCAGACGAGAAGAAAACUACGGUGGAAGGAACAAAAAAAAAUCUAUGGACAGGGAGUUGUUGUCAUAUGUAAAUAUUAUUUUUUUUUACAGUACUAAUAAACUGACAUGAUUACCAUCAAGAACACUAUUAAAUAUCACCCACGCAGAUGCUAUUAAAAUGUAAACCCAAUAUACAUCGUAGUGCUUAUGUUACGAAACAUUUAAUAACCAAUUUAAAUUAUACACGAAAAAGCAAAAACACAAGACACGUAUCAACUUGGAAGUGCAAAAUAUAUUAGCUAAACAAAGUUCUUGAUAACAUAGUACAAUUAACAGUUUAUCUAUCAGUCUGUAUCAGUUAUAUUCAUAUUCGAUCUGUAUCCAUGUUUCAGGGUAAGGUAUCAGCUGUGUAAAUAUAUAUAUAUAUUGAACAUAUUAUACAUAACGCACGUAUAUUAUUGAGUAUUAAGUUAAACAAAAAAUGAGGUGUUUCAAACACGGUGAUGUUUCAUACACUACCCUAACAUGAAGUAUGCGAGUGUGUAAACUACAAAACAAAUGUUAACAGUUUAUUUGACAUGAAGUACACGAGUGUUUAAACUAGAAAAAAAAUGUUAAUAGUUUAUUUGGCACGAAGUACGUGAUUGUGUAAACUAAAACAAAUGUUAAUAGUUUAUUUCACAUGAAGUAUGUGAGUGUGUAAACUAAAAAAUGUUAGCAGUUUAUUUGAUAUGAAGUAUGCGUGUGUGUAAGCUAGAAAAACAAUGUUAAAAGUUUACUUGACAUGAAGUACACGAGUGUGUAAACUAGAAAAAAAAUGUUAACAGUUUAUUUGACAUGAAGUACACGAGUGUGUAAACUAGAAAAAAAAUUUUAAUAGUUUAUUUGACAUGAAGUACACAAGUGUUUAAACUAGAAAAAAAAUGUUAAUAGUUUAUUUGAAAUGAAGUACACAAGUGUUUAAACUAGAAAAAAUUUUUAAUAGUUUAUUUGACAUGAAGUACGUGAUUGUGUAAACUAAAACAAAUGUUAAUAGUUUAUUUGAUAUGAAGUAUACGUGUGUGUAAGCUAGAAAAACAAUGUUAAAAGUUUACUUGACACGAAGUACACGAGUGUGUAAACUAGAAAAAAUGUGAAAGUUUAUUUGACAUGAAGUACAUGAGUGUGUAAACUAGAAAAAAAUGUGAAAGUUUACUUGACAUGAAGUACACGAGUGUGUAAACUAGAAAAAAAUGUGAAAGUUUACUUGACAUGAAGUACGCUAGUGUUUAAGCUAGAAUUUUUUUAACAAUUUAGUUGACAUGAAGUAUGCGAAUGUGUAAACAAAAAUUUUUUAGCAGUUUAUGUGAUAUGAAGUACGCGGUGUGUAAAAUAGAAAAAUAAAUGUCAAGUUUAUUUGAAAGAGCGAGAAGAAAGAAAUAUAUACAAUAAUAAGUACAUAUAGUAUUAACUUCACUGAAUAACCUUAUAUUUAACAUUAUAUGUAAAUAUGUUUUUGAACUCAGUAUGAAAAAGUUAAUGACAAAUAAAUUCAGUCAAACAUCAUAAUAUACAACUGCACAGAAACCAAAACAGCAGGUCACUGCACAUCGGAUAUAAAAAUAUUUUCCUACUUGUCGUGUCAUCAAGCUUUGUUUUAAUGGAAUAAUAAAACAAACCCCCAAAAAAGACAAAACAUCGAUUUUAAUCUAUUAUGAUUAUUAGAAUUUCCUGUGUUCCAAAAACACACGUGUAUAAACAUAUCACGUAAAAGUCGAUAAACUAUAUCCAAUGUGAAAAUUGUUCUGGUGUUAUAAUAAUACAAUUGAUUUACUAAGUAAUUAUGUUUAAUUAUAUAUCAUAACCUCUAGUUCAGAAAUAUUGCUUCGAGCUGGUUAAGAAAUAGUUUUAAGAAUGAUAACUGAACGAAACUGUACGAUGUUGUUGAAUAAAUAUAUAUAUAUAUA